GUGCCAGCAGCCGCGGUAAGACAGAGGGUGCAAACGUUGCUCGGAAUUACUGGGCGUAAAGCGCGUGUAGGCGGACUUGCAAGUCAGAUGUGAAAUCCCCGAGCUCAACUCGGGAACUGCAUUUGAAACUGCCUGUCUUGAGUAGUGGAGAGGAAAGCAGAAUUCCUGGUGUAGAGGUGAAAUUCGUAGAUAUCAGGAGGAACACCGGUGGCGAAGGCGGCUUUCUGGACACUUACUGACGCUGAGACGCGAAAGCGUGGGGAGCAAACAGGAUUAGAUACCCUGGUAGUCC
rnacentral:rRNA from 1 species